rnacentral:tRNA from 1 species
UUAAUCGAAACCAAAAUAGAGGUAUAUUACUGUUAAUAAUAUAAUUGAAUUAUUUAAUUCCGAUUAAG